GCGCCCGUAGUGUAAUGGAUAACACACCGGUUUCCGGAGCCGGGAAUAGGGGUUCGACUCCCUUCGGGCGUA
rnacentral:tRNA from 1 species